ACUCCUACGGGAGGCAGCAGUGGGGAAUAUUGGACAAUGGGGGAACCCUGAUCCAGCCAUGCCGCGUGUGUGAAGAAGGCCUUUUGGUUGUAAAGCACUUUAAGCGAGGAGGAGGCUUACCUGGUUAAUAACCCGGGNUAAGUGGACGUACUCGCAGAAAUAAGCCACCGGCUAACUCUGUGCCAGCAGCCGCGGUAAUACAGAGGGUGCAAGCGUUAAUCGGAUUUACUGGGCGUAAAGCGCGCGUAGGUGGCUAAUUAAGUCAAAUGUGAAAUCCCCGAGCUUAACUUGGGAAUUGCAUUCGAUACUGGUUAGCUAGAGUAUGGGAGAGGAUGGUAGAAUUCCAGGUGUAGCGGUGAAAUGCGUAGAGAUCUGGAGGAAUACCGAUGGCGAAGGCAGCCAUCUGGCCUAAUACUGACACUGAGGUGCGAAAGCAUGGGGAGCAAACAGGAUUAGAUACCCUGGUAGCUACGAGU
rnacentral:rRNA from 1 species